rnacentral:tRNA from 1 species
GAGGGUAUAGCUCAAGUGGUGGAGUGUGUGCUUGGCAUGCAUGGGGUCCUGGGUUCAAUCCCCAGUACCCCCU